rnacentral:rRNA from 1 species
CCUACGUGAGGCAGCAGUGAGGAAUAUUGGUCAAUGGGCGCGAGCCUGAACCAGCCAAGUCGCGUGAGGGAUGACGGUCCUACGGAUUGUAAACCUCUUUUGCCGGGGAGCAAGCGUGCGUUCGUGAACGCGCGUCGAGAGUACCCGGAGAAAACGCAUCGGCUAACUCCGUGCCAGCAGCCGCGGUAAUACGGAGGAUGCGAGCGUUCUCCGGAUUUAUUGGGUUUAAAGGGUGCGUAGGCGGGAUGCCAAUGCAGCGGUAAAACGGCGGUGCUCAACGCCGUCGAGCCGUUGAAACUGGCGUGCUUGAGUGGGCGAGAAGUAUGCGGAAGGCGUGGUGUAGCGGUGAAAUGCAUAGAUAUCACGCAGAACUCCGAUUGCGAAGGCAGCAUACCGGCGCCCUACUGACGCUGAGGCACGAAAGCGUGGGGAUCGAACAGGAUUAGAUACCCGGGUAGUC